rnacentral:rRNA from 1 species
AGUGAACGCUGGCGGUAGGCCUAACACAUGCAAGUCGAACGGCAGCACAGUAAGAGCUUGCUCUUACGGGUGGCGAGUGGCGGACGGGUGAGGAUUACAUCGGAAUCUACUUUUUCGUGGGGGAUAACGUAGGGAAACUUACGCUAAUACCGCAUACGACCUACGGGUGAAAGCAGGGGAUCUUCGGACCUUGCGCGAUUGAAUGAGCCGAUGUCGGAUUAGCUAGUUGGCGGGGUAAAGGCCCACCAAGGCGACGAUCCGUAGCUGGUCUGAGAGGAUGAUCAGCCACACUGGAACUGAGACACGGUCCAGACUCCGACGGGAGGCAGCAGUGGGGAAUAUUGGACAAUGGGCGCAAGCCUGAUCCAGCCAUACCGCGUGGGUGAAGAAGGCCUUCGGGUUGUAAAGCCCUUUUGUUGGGAAAGAAAAGCAGUAGGUUAAUACCCCGCUGUUCUGACGGUACCCAAAGAAUAAGCACCGGCUAACUUCGUG